rnacentral:rRNA from 1 species
AACGAACGCUGGCGGCAUGCCUAACACAUGCAAGUCGAACGAGACCUUCGGGUCUAGUGGCGCACGGGUGCGUAACGCGUGGGAACCUGCCCUUAGGUUCGGAAUAACUCCCCGAAAGGGGUGCUAAUACCGGAUAAUGUCUUCGGACCAAGGAUUUAUCGCCUUUGGAUGGGCCCGCGUUGGAUUAGCUAGUUGGUAGGGUAAAAGCCUACCAAGGCGCCGAUCCAUAGCUGGUCAGAGAGGAUGAUCAGCCACACUGGGACUGAGACACGGCCCAGACUCCUACGGGAGGGAGCAGUGGGGAAUAGAGGAGAAGGGGGGAAGGCAUGAUCCAGCAAUGCCGGGUAAGUGAUGAAGGCAUGAGGGUUGUAAAGCUCUUUUACCCGUGAAGAUAAUGACGGUACCGGGAGAAUAAGCCCCGGCUAACUCCGUG